UCUAAACAGAAUAUACCACGAUUCACUUAAUAUUGCUAUUGAGAUGAAUAAUCAUACACAAAUGUUCACACUUUUGUAAGCACUACUUUGUGAUAAAAAUAGUUUGUUUUAUUUUUAUGGUACGUACUAUUAGGGGACUUAUUGUUAUUUGGUAGUUUAAUAGAUUUAGAUCUCUUUUUUCCCUCAGGCCAGUGCAUUCAGUCAUGAAGAACAGAAGUUUCAGCCAAUAAACUUGCCUUUUGCCAGUUACUCAACUCACUAUGGUAUCCAUGAAAAAGAUAAAUGUAGUAGGAAGAUCUUCAAAGCCCCUCCUCCAAAUACAUACUCUGUGGCUCACUAUGUCUGUAACUUUCCUUGGAAGGUACUGUCUGAAAAGUAUGAAUGUGGAGAAUCUGCAGUUUCUUAUUUAAGUACUUCAAUCUUAUGCAAUAUUUACUCAAGCAUGUCCAUCUGUCAUUCAUGUAAAAAAUGCAGAUUAUCAGUUAACUCUGAACUGGAAAAUACUCGUGUGAGAUAUUUAAGUUCAUGCUCUUGAAGCUACACAGAAAUCAAGGAGCAUCAUUUAUCAUCU
rnacentral:lncRNA from 1 species